GUUGUACUUCUGUGAAAAAAUAUAUCAUAUAUAUAGUAAUUUAAAAGACAUAGGGGAUGUUCGAGUCUCAAUCACUGCGGCAGUUAUUUGGUUGCUCGAACAUCCCCUUAAUAGGUUAAAUUUACCUACAUCUUCCAAAUUUGAAUAUUCGUUUUUAAUGCUGCAUUGAGUUAUUUUCUUAUCGAUAAAUAAAAAGAUACAUCGACUUUGUCGAAUAUCGAUAAAUGAGUAUUGCAACUAAUUUCAUGUGACAACAAAUACAUUUGGACAGCUUGUGAAGCAAUUAUUUGUGGGAAUUAUCCACCAGUAACGGCCUCGAAAAUAGUUGGUGAAAUGAAAAACUGAAAGUGAAAUGAAGCUAUGAGUGUGAAGCAUGGUCAAUGCCUGUACAAUCAACUUGCAUGAAUUACAUUUAGAAGCUGUAAUAUUUAUGAAAAUUUUAAAUAAAAUGUACUUUGUGAAUCAAAAAAUUAUAAUUUAAAUAAAGACAAUUUUAAGGUUUUCUUAUCCCGCUGACAAA